UUAGAGUUUGAUCCUGGCUCAGGAUGACCUCUGGCGGCAUGCCUAAUACAUGCAAGUCGAACGGACCAUUUCGGUGGUAAGUGGCGAACGGGUGAGUAACACGUAGGUAACAUAUCCAUACGACGAGGAUAACGGCUGGAAACGGCUGCUAAGACUGGAUAGGAAUAUAGGAGGCAUCUUUAAUAUUUUAAAGGACCUUAGGGUACGCGUAUGGAGUGGCCUGCGGCGCAUUAGCUAGUUGGAGUGGUAAAGGCACCCCAAGGCAAUGAUGCGUAGCCGGACUGAGAGGUUGACCGGCCACAUUGGGACUGAGACACGGCCCACACUCCUACGGGAGGCAGCAGUAGGGAAUUUUCGGCAAUGGAUGGAAAUCUGAUCCAGCCAUGCCGCGUGCAGGAAGACGGCCUUAUGGGUCGUAAACUGCUUUUAUACGGGAGCAAUAAGGGUUACGAGUAAUCCGAUGAGAGUACUGUAUGAAUAAGGAUCGGCUAACUCCGUGCCAGCAGCCGCGGUAAUACGGAGGAUCCGAGCGUUAUCCGGAAUUAUUGGGUUUAAAGGGUGCGUAGGCGGCCAUUUAAGUCAGCGGUGAAAUUUUGCAGCUUAACUGUAACAGUGCCGUUGAUACUGUUUGGCUAGGAUUUGGUUGUAGUGUGCGGAAUGUGUGGUGUAGCGGUGAAAUGCUUAGAUAUCACACAGAACACCGAUUGCGAAGGCAGCACACUAAGUCAUUAUUGACGCUGAGGCACGAAAGUGUGGGGAUCAAACAGGAUUAGAUACCCUGGUAGUCCACACUGUAAACGAUGAUAACUCGCUGUCGGCGAUACACAGUCGGUGGCCAAGCGAAAGCAUUAAGUUAUCCACCUGGGGAGUACGACCGCAAGGUUGAAACUCAAAGGAAUUGACGGGGGCCCGCACAAGCGGAGGAACAUGUGGUUUAAUUCGAUGAUACGCGAGGAACCUUACCCGGGCUCGAACGGUGCAUGAAUAUACGAGAGAUUGUAUAGUCCUUCGGGACAUGUAUCGAGGUGCUGCAUGGUUGUCGUCAGCUCGUGCCGUGAGGUGUCGGCUUAAGUGCCAUAACGAGCGCAACCCUUGUCAUUAGUUGCCAUCAGGUCAAGCUGGGGACUUUAAUGAGACUGCCACCGUAAGGUGUGAGGAAGGGGGGGAUGACGUCAAAUCAGCACGGCCCUUAUGUCCGGGGCGACACACGUGUUACAAUGGGAGGUACAGAGGGCAGCUAUCCGGUGACGGAAUGCUAAUCUCCAAAACCUUUCUCAGUUCGGAUUGGAGUCUGCAACUUGACUCCAUGAAGGUGGAUUCGCUAGUAAUCGCGCAUCAGCCAUGGCGCGGUGAAUACGUUCCCGGGCCUUGCACACACCGCCCGUCAA
rnacentral:rRNA from 1 species